rnacentral:ncRNA from 1 species
AUAGAUGCUAUGACAGGGAAGAGUAAAUUAUUCGCACAUUUUUAGAGAGGAAACGGUAGCUGAAAAGUUUCUAUUUGUGCAUAAUUGAACGUAGCCUUCGAGCAGCUUUAGUGAACUAACAGUAGUUAAAGCCGGUUAAACACCGUUAUCGAAUUAAGAGCCAGUAGAAGUAAGCAUAAGUAAAUCAAAUAUCAUUCCAUUUCUGGUGACUAGGGCUAGCAAAAAGCGCUGUCAGACAAGAAAUGAGGAUGUACGCGAUCGCUUAACUUAGCCCUGCUGGAAUUAAAGGUGGUACCGCGAACUAAACUCCUUCGUCCUUUUG